GCGGUAGAGGAGCUUUCUGUAUGGGUUGAAGUCGUACCGUAAGGAGCGGUGGACUGUACAGAAGUGAGAAUGCUGGCAUAAGUAGCGAGAAAUAAGUGAGAAUCUUAUUGGCCGAAAACCUAAGGUUUCCUGAGGAAGGUUCGUCCGCUCAGGGUUAGUCGGGACCUAAGCCGAGGCCGAAAGGCGUAGGUGAUGGACAAUCGGUUGAUAUUCCGAUACCGCCUAUUUACGUUUGAGAAAUGGGGUGACGCAGUAGGAUAAGAUGUGCGCACUAUUGGAUGUGCGUCUAAGCACUUAGGCAUGCUUGAUAGGCAAAUCCGUCGAGCUAAGCUGAGGUGUGAUGGGGAGCCAUUUAUGGCGAAGUAUCUGAUUCCACACUGCCAAGAAAAGCCUCUAUCGAGUGAAUAGGUGCCCGUACCGCAAACCGACACAGGUAGGUGAGGAGAGAAUCCUAAGGCCAUCGGAAGAAUUGCUGUUAAGGAACUCGGCAAAUUGACCCCGUAACUUCGGGAGAAGGGGUGCCUACGAAAGUAGGCCGCAGAGAAUAGGCCCAAGCAACUGUUUAGCAAAAACACAGGUCUCUGCUAAAGCGAAAGCUGAUGUAUAGGGGCUGACGCCUGCCCGGUGCUGGAAGGUUAAGGGGAACACUUAGCGUAAGCGAAGGUGUGAACUUAAGCCCCAGUAAACGGCGGCCGUAACUAUAACGGUCCUAAGGUAGCGAAAUUCCUUGUCGGGUAAGUUCCGACCCGCACGAAUGGCGUAAUGAUUUGGGCACUGUCUCAACAGCAAAUCCGGCGAAAUUGUAGUGCAAGUGAAGAUGCUUGCUACCCGCGAUUGGACGGAAAGACCCCGUAGAGCUUUACUGUAGCUUAGCAUUGAAUCUCGGUAUUGUCUGUACAGGAUAGGUGGGAGACUUGGAAGCUUGGGCGUCAGCCUGAGUGGAGUCAUCCUUGGGAUACCACCCUGACAGUACUGGGGUUCUAACCGGCGGCCAUGAAUCUGGUCACGGGACAUUGUUAGGUGGGCAGUUUGACUGGGGCGGUCGCCUCCUAAAAAGUAACGGAGGCGCCCAAAAGUUCCCUCAGCGCGGUCGGAAAUCGCGCGAAGAGUGCAAAGGCAGAAGGGAGCUUGACUGCGACACAUACAGGUGGAGCAGGGACGAAAGUCGGGCUUAG
rnacentral:rRNA from 1 species